rnacentral:rRNA from 1 species
GAUGAACGCUGGCGGCGUGCCUAAUACAUGCAAGUCGAGCGAACAGACGAGGAGCUUGCUCCUCUGACGUUAGCGGCGGACGGGUGAGUAACACGUGGAUAACCUACCUAUAAGAGUGGGAUAACUUCGGGAAACCGGAGCUAAUACCGGAUAAUAUAUUGCACCGCAGGGUUCAAUAGUGAAAGACGGUUUUGCUGUCUCGUAUAGAUGGAUCCGCGCCGCAUUGGCUAGUUGGUAAGGUAACGGCUUACCAAGGCGACGAUGCGUAGCCGACCUGAGAGGGUGAGCGGCCACACUGGAACUGAGACACGGUCCAGACGCCUACGGGAGGCAGCAGUAGGGAAUCUUCCGCAAUGGGCGAAAGCCUGACGGAGCAACGGCGCGUGAGAGAUGAAGGUCUUCGGAUCGUAAAACUCUGUUAUUGGGGAAGAACAAAUGUGUAAGUAACUAUGCACGUCUUGACGGUACCUAAUCAGAAAGCCACGGCUAACUACGUG